UAGGGAAUCUUGCGCAAUGGGCGAAAGCCUGACGCAGCCAUGCCGCGUGAAUGAUGAAGGUCUUAGGAUUGUAAAAUUCUUUCACCGGGGAAGAUAAUGACGGUACCCGGAGAAGAAGCCCCGGCUAACUUCGUGCCAGCAGCCGCGGUAAUACGAAGGGGGCUAGCGUUGCUCGGAAUUACUGGGCGUAAAGGGCGCGUAGGCGGCCCGGUAAGUCAAAGGUGAAAUCCCUCGGCUCAACUGAGGAACUGCCUUUGAAACUGUCGGGCUUGAGGCCGGGAGGGGGUAGCGGAAUUCCCAGUGUAGCGGUGAAAUGCGUAGAUAUUGGGAGGAACACCGGUGGCGAAGGCGGCUACCUGGACCGGUUCUGACGCUGAGGCGCGAAAGCGUGGGUAGCAAA
rnacentral:rRNA from 1 species